rnacentral:rRNA from 1 species
CCUACGGGGUGCAGCAGUGGGGAAUAUUGGACAAUGGGCGAAAGCCUGAUCCAGCCAUGCCGCGUGUGUGAAGAAGGCCUUCGGGUUGUAAAGCACUUUCAGUGGGGAAGAAAGCCUUGGGGCUAAUACCCUCGAGGAAGGACAUCACCCACAGAAGAAGCACCGGCUAACUCCGUGCCAGCAGCCGCGGUAAUACGGAGGGUGCGAGCGUUAAUCGGAAUUACUGGGCGUAAAGCGCGCGUAGGCGGUCUGAUAAGCCGGUUGUGAAAGCCCCGGGCUCAACCUGGGAACGGCAUCCGGAACUGUCAGGCUAGAGUGCAGGAGAGGAAGGUAGAAUUCCCGGUGUAGCGGUGAAAUGCGUAGAGAUCGGGAGGAAUACCAGUGGCGAAGGCGGCCUUCUGGACUGACACUGACGCUGAGGUGCGAAAGCGUGGGUAGCAAACAGGAUUAGAUAUCCUAGUAGUC